rnacentral:rRNA from 1 species
GAUGAACGCUGGCGGCGUGCCUAAUACAUGCAAGUCGAGCGAAUGGAUUAAGAGCUUGCUCUUAUGAAGUUAGCGGCGGACGGGUGAGUAACACGUGGGUAACCUGCCCAUAAGACUGGGAUAACUCCGGGAAACCGGCGCUAAUACCGGAUAACAUUUUGAACCGCAUGGUUCGAAGUUGAAAGGCGGCUUCGGCUGUCACUUAUGGAUGGAACCGCGUCGCAUUAGCUAGUUGGUGAGGUAACGGCUCACCAAGGCAACGAUGCGUAGCCGACCUGAGAGGGUGAUCGGCCACACUGGGACUGAGACACGACCCAGACUCCUACGGGAGGCAGCAGUAGGGAAUCUUCCGCAAUGGACGAAAGUCUGACGGAGCAACGCCGCGUGAGUGAUGAAGGCUUUCGGGUCGUAAAACUCUGUUGUUAGGGAAGAACAAGUGCUAGUUGAAUAAGCUGGCACCUUGACGGUACCUAACCAGAAAGCCACGGCUAACUACGUGCCAGCCGCCGCCGUAA